rnacentral:rRNA from 1 species
UGGGGGAUAUUGCACAAUGGGCGAAAGCCUGAUGCAGCGACGCCGCGUGGGGGAUGAAGGCCUUCGGGUUGUAAACUUCUUUUGCUCUGAACAAGGCGCACCAUGGGGUGUGUUGAGUGUAGGGGUUGAUUAGCGCCGGCUAACUACGUGCCAGCAGCCGCGGUAAUACGUAGGGCGCGAGCGUUGUCCGGAAUUAUUGGGCGUAAAGGGCUUGUAGGUGGCUGGUUGCGUCUGUCGUGAAAGCUCAUGGCUUAACUGUGGGAUUGCGGUGGGUACGGGCUGGCUUGAGUGCAGUAGGGGAGGCUGGAAUUCCUGGUGUAGCGGUGGAAUGCGCAGAUAUCAGGAGGAAUACCGGUGGCGAAGGCGGGUCUCUGGGCUGUUACUGACACUGAGGAGCGAAAGCAUGGGGAGCGAACAGG